rnacentral:rRNA from 1 species
AUGGCAGAAGUCCUGUCAGGACCUCCCGAGCACCAUCUAAGCUCUGCAGCCUUAGAUACACAUUAUGAAGAGAAGAGGAAAUCCAAUGUGGAAUACUCAGAAGAUGAAAAGAAAGCAAUGAUUGUGUCACUGAAGAAAAAGGCGAUGAACGCCUCACAAAAACUGAGGCAUUCCAUGAAGAAGGGGAGGAGGAGCAGCAAGGUGAUGUCCAUUUCAAUUGAGGACGAGCGCGACCCUGAGGAGGUGCAGGCUGUUGAUGCCUUCCGUCAGCUUCUUGUGCUCGAAGAGCUUCUACCGUCGCAGCACGAUGACUACCACAUGAUGCUUAGGUUUUUAAAGGCAAGAAAGUUUGAUGUUGAGAAGGCAAAGCAAAUGUGGUCUGAUAUGCUGCAGUGGAGAAAGGAGUUCGGCACAGAUACCCUUCUUGAGGGUUUUGAAUUCGAAGAAGCUGAUAAGGUCGCAGAAUGCUACCCUCAAGGCUACCAUGGAGUGGACAAGGAAGGAAGGCCCGUCUACAUUGAACGGCUCGGACAGAUCGAUGUCACUAAGCUGAUGCAGGUUACCACAAUGGAACGUUUCGUCAAGAACCAUGUCAAGGAGUUUGAGAAGAACUUUGCUGAUAAGUUUCCAGCUUGCUCAGUAGCUGCCAAGCGCCACAUUGAUCAGAGCACUACCAUCCUUGAUGUGCAAGGAGUCGGGAUGAAACAAUUUAGCAAAGCUGCAAGGGAUCUCAUCGGUCAGCUUCAGAAGAUUGAUGGUGAUAACUACCCAGAGACGCUGUGCCGGAUGUUCAUCAUUAAUGCAGGCCAAGGGUUCCGACUUCUCUGGAGCACAAUUAAGAGCUUCCUUGACCCAAAGACCACCGCAAAGAUUCAUGUAUUGGGUAACAAGUACCAGAGUAAGCUUCUCGAGGUGAUCGAUGCCAGUGAGCUGCCAGAGUUUUUUGGUGGAACCUGCCAGUGCCAAGGUGGCUGCAUGAAGGCUGACAAAGGACCAUGGAAGAAUCCUGAAGUCAUGAAGAUGGUUCAUAGUGGUGCCGGGAGGUGUGGAAAGCUCAAUCUGGAAUCUCUUGAUGCCGGGGAGAAAAUGAUUUGUGCAGAUAGCACCGUUUACACGAAGAAGCAAGAUCCUUUGAACGGACAAGAUGAAUGGAGGAACCCCGCACGUGCCCAAAUUGAGCAUCCUCAACUGUCGCCUGUUCAUGAGGAGCUUCUUCCUGCAUUGUUUCCUAACCCAGGAUCACCAUAUUCCUGUGAUGUUCCAAUGGUUGAGAAGGCCAUAGAUGCCAUAUGCAAGAGCCAUGGGUUAACAGAUGAUAAUAUUGCCCUCACUAAAGCUGUGGCAAACGUCUCUAAUGCAUCCAAUCCACCAAUGAUGGGCGGCAUCAUGGCCCUUGUGAUGAGCAUUGCGACGAUGCUCCGUCUGAGCCGUAACAUGCCCAGGAAGGUAAUUGGUGCUGCCAUAGGAGCCCAAGGCACACCGAAAACUCAGGCGCAGCAGCAAUCCAAGUUGUCAGCCGAGGCCGAUUACACUGUCUCCGCAAAGCGCUUUGCUGAUCUUGAGGAGAAGAUCAUUGCACUCCUUGCAAAGCAAGCAGAAAUGCCGGCGGAUAAGGAGGAGCUGCUGAAGGCGGCAACCAGCCGUGUCGCUGCAUUGGAAGAGGAACUUGCACGGACCAACAAGGCUUUGCAGGAAACUCUUGAGCGGCAACGGGAGAUCAUGGAAUACAUUGAAAAGAAAAAGAAGAAGAAAGCCAAGCGCUUGUUUCACUGGUAG